GGAGGUGCUGAGGUUGUCGCUGACUUUUGAAAUGGUCGUGCACACCUCGGUGCUCUCAUAUACAAUCCAUCUCACCCCUCUUGUGCAUCACCGCGUGGAGGCCCCUUUUGGCUAGUUCUAAAGGGGGUUUUCAUGUUUUUAUACAUACACCAUUUUAAUGCAAUGCGUAGAAUGUCAUACUUUUGCGAUCACACGCAAUUAAUACAACUUUCAACAACGGAUCUCUUGGCUCUCGCAUCGAUGAAGAACGCAGCGAAAUGCGAUACGUAAUGUGAAUUGCAGAAUUCAGUGAAUCAUCGAAUCUUUGAACGCACCUUGCGCCCUUUGGUAUUCCGAAGGGCACACCCGUUUGAGUGUCGUGACAUCCUCAAACCUUCUUGGUUUCUUGACCAGGAAGGCUUUGGACUCUGGAGGUUCUUGCUGGCUUUCCUUUGUUGAAGCCAGCUCCUCUAAAAUGAAUUAGUGGGAUCUGCUUUGCCAAUCCUUGACGUGAUAAGAUAUUUCUACGUCUUGGGUCUUGCACUGUUUGCUCUGGAUCUCGCUUCUAACCGUCUUAUACAAGACAAUUGUCGAGUGAUUACCACUUGGCCCACAAACCUUGACCUCA
rnacentral:rRNA from 1 species